rnacentral:rRNA from 1 species
UACGUAGGUGGCUAGCGUUGUCCGGAUUUACUGGGCGUAAAGAGCGCGCAGGCGGUCGUUCAAGUCGAGUGUGAAAGCCCCCGGCUCAACUGGGGAGGGUCACUCGAUACUGAUCGACUUGAAGGCGGGAGAGGGAAGCGGAAUUCCCGGUGUAGUGGUGAAAUGCGUAGAUAUCGGGAGGAACACCAGUGGCGAAGGCGGCUUUCUGGCCCGUUCUUGGACGCUGAGGCGCGAAAGCUAGGGUAGGCAAAACGGG